rnacentral:rRNA from 1 species
AACGAACGCUGGCGGAAUGCUUUACACAUGCAAGUCGAGCGGCAGCACGGGGGCAACCCUGGUGGCGAGCGGCGAACGGGUGAGUAAUACAUCGGAACAUGCCCAGUCGUGGGGGAUAACACUUCGAAAGAAGUGCUAAUACCGCAUACGUCCUGAGGGAGAAAGCGGGGGAUCUUCGGACCUCGCGCGAUUGGAGUGGCCGAUGUCAGAUUAGCUAGUUGGGGGGGUAAAGGCCUACCAAGGCAACGAUCUGUAGCUGGUCUGAGAGGAGGAUCGGCCCCACUGGGACUGAGAAACGGUCCAGACUCCUACGGGAGGCAGCAGGGGGGAGUAUUGGACAAUAGGCGCAAUCCUGAUCCAGCCCUGCCGCGGGGGUGAAGAAGGCCUUCGGGUUGUAAAGCCCUUUUGUCCGGAAAGAAAAGCCUCGGAUUAAUACCCUGGGGUGAUGACGGUACCGGAAGAAUAAGCACCGGCUAACUUCGUGCCAGCAGCCGCGGUAAGAC